rnacentral:lncRNA from 1 species
AGGGCUGGAAGUGGGUGGAUGGAAGAAAAUGCUGCCCUUCCUGCUAUCUCUAAGGAACGGAGAUAAUCCGAUGGGGAAGAACCUGGCGGGUCGAGUUUUAAACUUUUCUUGUUGUAGUUACUGAGAUUCCAGAUCAGAAACGAAACUAACCCACGCGAACCCCCUUUUUAAGGAGAAACAAUUGCCUCGGUGUCACAGGCACACGGGCAUGUACAAGCCCGGCGGCGCGUGGUGUAGAAAAUGGCUAGCUUUAAGCCAUGCAAAUAAAGGAAAACGUCAGCUCACCCUUCUGCCCUUUUAUCCUGGGACUGCUGGGUGUUCCCUUAGACGGGGAAUGUAGAACUUCAAAAGCACUUCAGAAAGAUUUGGAAGAGACUCCUGAAAACGAUAUCAUGCGGUAUAAUCCCCUUGGCUGACAGAAGAAAAAGAUUCUCAGAAAAUGGUUCUUUCAAGGCAGAUGC